UUUAAAAACUUUUAUAACUUUAAUAUAUUUGGCCAUACUUUACCUAGGUUACUAUAGUUUUUAGUGAUUUCUGCACAAAUUGUGCAU